GUUGUAUCUGCAUCAGAUAAUACAUGCCAUGUUUUCUCCAUAGGUUUGGGUUUGAAGGUAAAGCAGCCAUGUAGACCUUCAUCAGACACUGUCUGUGGGACACUGGAGGGGUUCUACUGUCUAGACCCAACUAAGGAUGGUUGUAGAGCAGCCCAGAGACACAGCAGCUGUAAACCUGGUCAAUACAUCAGCCACACAGGAACAACAUCUACAGAUACUGUGUGUGUUGACUGCCCUGGUAAAACGUAUUCAGAUGGAUCAUUAACAUCUUGUCAACCACACACAGAAUGUGAAUUCUUGGAAAUUGAACCAGGAACUCCUUGGUCGGAUUCAGAAUCCGGAGUAACCUCACUUCCCACAGCUGGAACCACAGCUGGAACCAUAGCUGGUGUUCUGAUAGGUUUCCUGAUAGGCACCAUAGCUGGUGUUUGUUUAUUUAUAGUGAGAACAAGAGAGAUGGUGAGAACAAGACAAAACUUAGGCCCUCAAAUACUGACACAGACAUCCCCAGAUCAGGAUAUAUCAAUGCUGUCUGAGGGAACUGGAAAAGAUUCAAGCCCCCAUCACAGUCAGGGACUCAACAUUCUGUAAGCUGUGGUCCGCUGGCUGGUCCAGCCAUCUAUAGUGUAUUUUAACACUACAUGUUAAAUGUGGUAUUGUAGAAUCUGGUUGGUAUAAAAACAGAAUUCUACAGCACAUUCAAUUGUAGUCUAAAGAAAUGAAAAACACUUUGAAACCCAACCUCCAGUAGGAAGAAUAUGACCUCUGGGUAGAGGAUCACUGUGCAUUGACAAUGACUAUUAUGUGGCUUAGUGUAUUAAUCAUAUACAUUAGCUUCCACCCACACUGGAACAUGUGUAUCAGCUUCUGCCUACAGCCUGUUCUAAAAUGAAAAGGACCAUGUGAUGAGGAUUAGGAACCAGCAUCGGUAGGUGAGAACCCUCUGCUCUGUCCAGGGGAAAGUCAAACGUGUGUAUAACUUCAGGACCACAACGUCUGUCAGCCCAUACUAUGGAACUCCAAAUGGGACUUGAUAAUAUCUUGAGACACAGAUUACGAAUUAACUUUUAAGAAGGCACACCUAAUUAAUUGAAAUGCAUUCCAGG